AAGGCGUAUCCCGAAAAGCCUGUAAUAGAGUAGGGA
rnacentral:ncRNA from 1 species